rnacentral:rRNA from 1 species
AACGAACGCUGGCGGCAGGCUUAACACAUGCAAGUCGAGCGCCCACUUCGGUGGGAGCGGCAGACGGGUGAGUAACGCGUGGGAAUAUACCUAUCUCUAGGGAACAACAGUUGGAAACGACUGCUAAUGCCUUAUACGCCCUUUGGGGGAAAGAUUUAUCGGAGAUAGAUUAGCCCGCGUUAGAUUAGCUAGUUGGUGAGGUAAUGGCUCACCAAGGCGACGAUCUAUAGCUGGUCUGAGAGGAUGAUCAGCCACACUGGAACUGAGACACGGUCCAGACUCCUACGGGAGGCAGCAGUGGGGAAUAUUGGACAAUGGGCGCAAGCCUGAUCCAGCCAUGCCGCGUGAGUGAUGAAGGCCUUAGGGUUGUAAAGCUCUUUCAACGGUGAAGAUAAUGACGGUAACCGUAGAAGAAGCCCCGGCUAACUUCG